rnacentral:lncRNA from 1 species
AUAAAGUAGUAGUACCAAAUGAUGGUGGUGCUUUUAAUUUGGUAACUACGUUGUUGGUAGAUUGUAAACAAGUCUAGGGAUAACCCCUGGAUUCUUGGUAACUGGUUGCCGCCAGCCCUCAAUUUUCAAAAUCCAAAGACAUUAUGCAAGUGUUCAAUGUGGUGGGUGGGGCACUGCGGCUAAGCUCUUGAAGACUGGAGCAACUACGAGCCAACUUUUGAUUUUUGAAUGAGUUGCGUUAGUGGUGGAUAGAGGGCUUAGUCAUUAGUUGUAUGAUGUAACAACUGUGAAGAAUCAAGUCCUGAAUGAUGUUAUGUACAACUCUUUAAACACUAUAACAGAGGUGUCUAAUGCACCAAAAGAUUAAUUAAAACUACUAUCGUGGUGCAACAACUGUAACAGUAAAUUCAAUAUUGGCUUGGCCGACAAAUAAAAAUAAUCCGCUUCUUUCAGUGAAAAAACCAGGUUGUUUGGGAUGAAUUAGUGCCAUUUAAAAUCACAGAUGACAUACCUGGUCUAUUAUCUUCCGGAUAUUGUUGAACACAUAAUAAUCCAAUUUGUUUGACUCAGAAACACUUCAUUCUGGUUACUUGAUUCCAAGAUCCCUCCAUCGAUUACUUCCAAAAGCUUGCCUUCAUUAAAACUUUUCCAUGCCUAAAAGAGUUGAUUUAAUAGUUCAUCAGAAGUAAUUAAAGC